CCCAACGACCAUUGUCUGCAGCGGCCACACAAAGAGGCCGGCCGUGGCCGCGCGGGGAUCCCGGCUGGCCCAGCAGACGCCCUGCGGAGAGCGCCGGACCAGCGCUGGCAGCGCAACCGGCGGACGCGUGGGGAAACUGAGGCCCAGAGGGGUGUUGAGCCCCGACGUCAGUGACCUGGAGACUCCGGGGAAGCUGGUCAGCUUUGGACGUCCCAGCCCACCCCACACACACACACUUGCACGCUGAAGGGCACCCAGUCCCUCACCCACUGUGGGACCCGCAGGCCGGCUGGGCAGCCAGAGUGGGGCUCACACUGCACCUCCAUAUUGGCCCUGACACCUCCAGAACCCUCCUCAAAGGCGCUGCUGACGACUUGGACAUUGACUUUGUGGCCCAUGGCUAUUUUUACACCAUGGGUAGUACUCUGCCCUGACUUUUAAAUUCAUGAUUUGUUUGUUUAAAAAAACGAAAGGAAGCACUCCUGCCCUGGGACAGCUUGGGCCUCCGCCGCCCGCCGUCUUGGGCGGCUGGAAUUCGGGUUUGGGUGUGAGCUACCUGCGCAGAGCCAAGCCAGCCUUCCUGAGCACGCGCACCGCCUCUGGCCUGCUGCGCCAGGCUGGCCAAGGCACCCCGCCUCCCUGGCCCUGAACCCCAGCUCACUGCUGCCAGUCCUACACCCAGCUCAGAGAGGGCACAGUGGCUUACCAAAGUCAGCCAGCUGCACAUGCAGCUGGAUCAGGGGGUUCUGGUGCAGAAGAGGGCUAUGAACACAUGUGGAUGGCCCGGAGAUAGCCACAGUCUAACAAGGGAGAGGGUCCCAGGGGCGCUACUGCCACAUGUGCCACCUCCCUUCUAAGCUUUACUGUCCUCCUCUGGGUCAUGGGACAGUAACAGGAGGACCUCUGUGUCCUUUCCUGGAAGGAGCCCCUUGUUCCACUGGGGGCAGGAGCACCGUGGGGUGCAGCUGGGAGGGUAAGCCUUGUUGGGGAGCCCAGGCCAGGUAGGCAGCGCUCCCAGUCUCUCCGGCAGACUGUUUCCAGUCUCUCUGCUGGCUUCUCCCUACCCCCGUCCCCUUGGCCACACACACACACACACACACACACACACCAUCUAGCCAGACAGCCUGCUCCCCAGGACCCUCCCUCUAGCAGUGGACUUUACCCGUGGCCCUCACCAGCCAUCAUCAUCUCCGGUGGCACAGCCCAUAGCCUACUGACCUCCUGUGGGCCUGGGAAUGGGCCCACACUUGACCAAGAGUGAAGAAGAUCUGGCCUGCACCUGAUGGGCUCUGGGUGUGUGCUGCACACCAGAACCCACACAGAGGCCUGACGUCGGGCACUCAGAGGAGGUGUAGCCACGAUGGGUGAGGCAGGGUCAGACCCUAGGUCUGGCUCUCACCAGCCACGUGACCUCUGCACCUCAGUUUCCUCAUCUAAGGAGACACAGAGGCAGAGAGGAACAAGAACUGACUUCAGGUCACACAGUGGCCCCCGUGCUGUGGUCGCAAGCCAACGGUCAGAGCCCUCGGGAGGACUCCACACAACCACCAACCUUGCACCCCAACCUCUAAAAUCUCCUGCACCACCUGCUUCUCCUCGUAUAUGGGCAGGUGAGCCAGGGCAGCCCGUGCCAGGUAAGACUGGAGUUCAGGCAGAAGGGACAGGCGACAGAACGGGAAAACAGGGUGCUGGGAGAGAUACCUGGGGAGGAGGCCAGAGUCAGGCUCUACCACCAACUGUGUCACGGCCCUUGGGCAAGCGUCCUCUCUGAACUUCAGUGGCUUCUUCGUAAAACAGGAGAAAAGAGCCAGUUAACCACAGAGGCUUUUGGACAUGAAAUGAGACUAUGACAACAGGAAACCAGAGGCCAAGGUAUCCCAGGCGUUGGGAAGAGCCCAGGCUGAGACUGCCAACUGGGGGCACCGGUUCCAGCCGCGCUUGACUUUGAGGCUGGCACCUUCUCCCUCGCUCUCUGCACCGUGCCCCUCUCCACACGCCACCCAUCAAGGGACAAGAUAAUGUGCUUUAUCGGGGGCAUUUAUUAUCGACAAUUGCUUCAUAAUUCUCCCUCUGUUCACACGCAUAUGUAUAAGAGGUGGAAGACUUCUGCGCCAACCCCCCAUGUCGUCAGCUGGCCCCCAUAAAGAUAACGGGAAAUGAUUCAUAAUAUUUAUUUGACAGACAUGAUAUGAACCGUAAUAGUCUGUUGGGAUUAAAAAUAUCCGUCCAUCUCCGUCAUC